rnacentral:rRNA from 1 species
CCUACGGGAGACAGCAGUGAGGAAUAUUGGUCAAUGGACGAGAGUCUGAACCAGCCAAGUAGCGUGAAGGAUGAUUGCCCUAUGGGUUGUAAACUUCUUUUAUAUGGGAAUAAAAUGUUCCACGUGUGGGAGUUUGUAUGUACCAUAUGAAUAAGGAUCGGCUAACUCGGUGCCAGCAGCCGCGGGAAUACGGAGGAUCCGAGCGUUAUCCGGAUUUAUUGGGUUUAAGGGGAGCGUAGGUGGAUUGUUAAGUCAGUUGUGAAAGUUUGCGGCUCAACGGUAAAAUUGCAGUUGAAACUGGCAGUCUUGAGUACAGUAGAGGUGGGCGGAAUGCGUGGUGUAGCGGUGAAAUGCUUAGAUAUCACGAAGAACUCCGAUUGCGAAGGCAGCUCACUGGACUGCAACUGACACUGAGGCUCGAAAGUGUGGGUAUCAAACAGGAUUAGAUACCCCGGUAGUC